CGUGUAGGCGGCUUGGUAAGUUGGGUGUGAAAGCCCGGAGCUCAACUCCGGAACUGCACUCGAAACUGCCUCGCUCGAGUCCCGGAGAGGGUGGUGGAAUUCCCGGUGUAGAGGUGAAAUUCGUAGGUAUCGGGAGGAACACCAGUGGCGAAGGCGGCCACCUGGACGGUGACUGACGCUGAGACGCGAAAGCGUGGGGAGCAAACAGGAUUAGAUACCCUGGUAGUCCACGCCGUAAACUUUGGGUGCUAGGCGUCGCGGGUAUUGACCCCCGCGGUGCCGCAGCUAACGCGUUAAGCACCCCGCCUGGGGAGUACGGUCGCAAGACUAAA
rnacentral:rRNA from 1 species